rnacentral:lncRNA from 1 species
GCAUUCCCACAAUCCAACAAUUCUAAAUUUGCCUACCCAAACCUACAUUUGCCUAUUCAUUUCAACAUACCAUGAUUCUAUCGUGUUCCGACAAUAUUCAUGUUUAUUCCGAAUUCAACAAUAAUAAACCAAAAUUAAUUUAGAUUCGCCCAUUUUAUUAAUUUCUCAAUUCCAACCCCCCACCUAGCUUCGUUUCCAUCAAUUACACCAAACAUUACUCCAAUUCAUUCCACGUAUCACCGAAAUCACAUCGUCAAACACAUAAAACAUCAUAACAUCGACAAAAUCUACCAACCAUGAUCACACCACACAUAAUCACAACAAU